UACGUAGGGGGCAAGCGUUGUCCGGAUUCAUUGGGCGUAAAGAGCUCGUAGGCGGCUUGGCAAGUCGGGUGUGAAAACUUCAGGCUCAACCUGGAGCGGCCACUCGAUACUGCCAUGGCUAGAGUCCGGUAAGGGACCACGGAAUUCCUGGUGUAGCGGUGAAAUGCGCAGAUAUCAGGAGGAACACCGGUGGCGAAGGCGGUGGUCUGGGCCGGAACUGACGCUGAGGAGCGAAAGCGUGGGGAGCGAACAGG
rnacentral:rRNA from 1 species